UCAUAAUAAUCUUCACAUUUUAGUUGCAUCAUAAUAAUCUUCUUCUUCUAGUCUUCUUCUUCUAACUUUCUUCUUUCCCAUUUUACAGAUUUGCUUAAGAUCACGGAAGCUUAGGUUGAUGGAGUGCUUGUAUUUAGUUUUUGUUUUGACCUUGUGAAACUUGCUACCUAUGGAUGAAACUAUGUAAUAUUGAUGAAACUAUGUAUAUGUACGGAUGAAACUUGCUACUAUUGGUAACAUGUGUUGGAUAUAUAUGUGUUCAUGACUAAUAUGUGUUGAAUAUGCUAUAUUGGUCAUAUAAAUAUAUUUGUUUUUGAUUUUCUGUGAAAAUGAAUUGAUAUAAGAAAAAACAAAAUUAAAUGGGACAAUAUAGUCACUUUGCCAUCUGCUGGCAAACGGCAAAGAGGCCACGUGUCAUCUACAUGUAAAAUUUGGGCUGGCCUAUUUGGGCUCUUUGCCAUCUGUCAGCAGAUGGCAAAGCUCUUUGCCAUCCGCUGGCAGACGGCAAAGCAUUCAGCCUUUGCCAUCUGCUGGCUGACGGCAAAGAGCCUGCAGCCUUUGCCAUCUGCUGGCAGACGGCAAAGAGCCUGCAGCCUUUGCCAUCUGCUGGCAGACGACAAAGUAUGUCGUUAGCCUUCUAACGGGGCUAACCCCGUUAAGAGGCUUUGCCAUCUGCCAGCUGAUGGCAAAGCCACAUGCUCUUUGCCAUCAGCCAGCAGACGGCAAAGAAGGCUUUGCCGGCAGGGUUUCAGACAAACUGUUUGCCAUCUGCUGGCAGAUGGCAAAGCCUUUACCAUCCACCGAUCAUGCCUUUGCCAUCUGCCAUGGCAGAUGGCAAAGUGCCAGAUUCCAGUAGUGUUAUGUAUGGAAACUAGUAAUAUCAUCUUGCUCUGUCCCAUACUUUCUAGGUUGCUGAUAAUGAGACUCCCAUAACUUUCAACAGAUGAGGUUCAAGUUGGAUAGCCAAGAUGAUGCAACCAGACAAGCUUGCACCCAUGUUUUCAAGUCUGCUCUGCGACAGUAUCAGUAUAACUUGAGGAAAACUCAUUUUGAAGGCAAGGCUAAUAGUGAACUUUCCCAAACAUCUCCAGUGGAAAAUAUAUCGGAUGAAGACUGGAGGGGCCUUGUUAAACACUGGUCUGAUCUGAAGUAUCAGGUACAUUAUAUAUAUGUGAUCAGAUCACAUGUUGAAGUCCUAUUGACGCAUGUGCCACACAAAUCUAUCUUCUUGUAGGUGAACUGUUCAAAGAACAAGGCCAACCGUACGAAAGUGAAAUUCCAACAGACGACAGGAUCUCGUAGCUAUAUUUCACACUGCGAGGCUCUUGUAAUUAGCUGAUGUUUCACUCUUUUCGCUGUACCAUAUUAUCAGAUCUAUAUUGACUUGUUCAAAAUGCAGAGGAAAGCCCGCAAGGACCAAAAAGUACCUGAACCAAAUGCUGUGGAAAUCUUCAAGGACUGUCACACCAGCAAGAAGAAGGUCAUGACUACGCCAGUCAAAGCCGUUGUUGUAAGUCCUUAAUCCUCAUGCCUUUUAACUACUACUUACUGACUUGUGCCUUGAACUGCAUGGUUUGCAGCCAAUGUCUAUUACUCUUUUCAAUUUUAUAUACAAUUGUCUUAGCGUAUCAUUGCACCUUACAAGGUUUAAAAGGGAGGAGUGAUGUUCCUUUGAUCUUGACCCGUAAUCUAGUUCCGUGCUGGCUUGCCCACACAAUGUUACAAUUGCCUAUUUGUCUAUUCUCAAUUGUUUUGUGAUAUGAAUGAUGUCAUACUAUGCUUACCGUAUUAUAAACUUCGUCUCUUUAUCCUUAGCCCUCAAUACAAUGUGAAGAAAUAGACAAUACAUUAGCGAUGGUACAUGGUCAUAUGUUUGGAACCUGGUUUUAUUAUGUACUUUGCAAUAAAAUACAACUAAUAUUUUACAUGGGUUCACCAGAAUAAGUUUUGUAUAUAGACCAAAGCUAUUUUGUUUGGUUUUGCUGCCUCCUUAAUAUCUUCUGUUCUGGUACUACUAAUGUAAAACCUCAACUUUUCAGUGAGCUAUGGAAAAAAUGGUGGAACCGCCACCUUCUGAAGGUGGCGAGGCAACUAUAACCGCAAUGUCAGCUCUUGCUGCAGUGGGUCAGUACCUGUCCACAAACAGUGCCAAAAGCACGUUCCUGCGUAAUACUGGGUUGGUUGUUAAGGCAAUAUCGUCCAAACUGCCUCAUGAUCAAGUUAUGCAAGCUCAAAGCAAUGUUGUAUAUGCGCUCCAGACACAAGUCCAUUCCCUAACAGAGGCCCUUUGUGAAACAAGGAGAAACAUUACUCAAUGUCGUCAAGAUAUGCAUGGUUUUGAAACCAGACUAUCAGACAUUUGCUAUGUUGUUUAGGAGCCUAGGGGAAAUGAAGGCGAGGGUUAUGGUGCUCCAUCGGACAAUACAGCAUGAAAACGUAAUAGUCAGGUCAAAUGAACCGAGUUUCUGAACUUCUGGUGGUGCAUUUAUCUACUAGACUGUUAAGUUUUAUGCCAACCUUCCUUUUGUUAUAUAGUUGUAAUUUGUUUUGGUGCGAUACAAAAUUUAUUCUUAAUGUGCAGCCACCGGCUAAAGAAAACAGCAAGCGAUUUUUGUAUAGUGUAGGCUGUUCCCUAUAUUUGCACCGGUGGCGAUCUUUGAUGCCGAGUGGAUGUAAUCUGUGCAAUCGCCUUAAUAGCCUAGCGUUAGUUUCGGCCUUAUUUAUUUCCUAGUCUUCUUUUUCCCUGGUUUGCUAGUGGCCGCAACUACCCAUGGGCCAUAUACGGGCCGUAGGAUCCAUGGGUCUCCUACGGGCCGUCGAUAAAUGGGCCUGUAAUCGGUGGGCCUCAGGCCAUCGAUAAAUGGGCCUGUAAUCGGUGGGCCUCAGGCCGUCGGAUAAAUGGGCCUACAUGGGCCGUAAUCGGGCGUAAUUGGUAUCGGCCCAGCAUGGUAACGGGUCGUUAACAGGCCGUAGGACUGCAAAAGCUUAGUUCUCUCAUAGGCAUAACGGGUCGUUAAUGGGCCAGAAUAUAGGACGGGCUGGCCAGAAAUGGACGACUCUUUUCAUACAUGUCACUCUUGAUUCAUAGCACCAUCCUGGUACACCGCCGAAGGCAUUCAUAUAGAGUCAUAUCUUGUUCUAUGUUUCGAGUUGUAAUCUUUAUGUUGUAAUCAAUAGAAGUGUGAUGAUCAUCAUUAUUAGAGCAUUGCACAAAGAAAAAAAAGAAAAGAAAGGCCAAAAGAAAAAAAGGCCAAAAAAAAGAAAAGAAAAAGGGCAAUGCUACUAUCUUUUUUUCCACACUUGUGCUUCAAAGUAGCACCUUGUUCUUCAUGUAGUGAGUCUCAUAUAUUGUGCUUCAAAGUAGCACCUUGUUCUUCAUGUAGUGAGUCUCAUAAGUUGUCUUUUUAUACUAGUGGGAAUUUUUCAUUAUAGAACUUGGCUUGUAUAUUCCUAUGAUGGGCUUCCUCAAAUGCCCUAGGUCUUCGUCAGCAAGCAAGUUGGGUGCACACCCACUAGUUUUCUUUUGUUGAGCAUUCAUAGCUCUAGUGCAUCCGUUGCAUGGCAAUCCCUACUCCUCAUGUUGACAUCAAUUGAUGGGCAUCUCCAUAGCCCGUUGAUUAUCCUCGUCAAUGUGAGACUUUCUCCUUUUUUGUCUUCUCCACACAAUCCCCAUCAUCAUAUUCUAUUCCACCCAUAGUGUUAUAUCCAUGGCUCACACUCAUAUAUUGCGUGAAGGUUGAAAAAGUUUGAGAUUAUUUAAGUAUGAAACAAUUGCUUGGCUUGUCAUCGGGGGUAUAGAAGUUGGGAACAUCUUUCUGUGACGAAAAUGAAGCAUAGCCUAACUAUAUGAUUUUGUAGGGAUGAACUUUCUUUGGCCAUGUUAUUUUGAGAAGACAUGAUUGCUUUGAUUAGUAUGCUUCAAGUAUUAUUAUUUUUGUGUCAACAUGAACUUUUGUCUUGAAUCUUUCGGAUCUGAAUAUUCAUAUCACAAUUAAGAAGAUUUACAUUGAAAUUAUGCCAAAGUAUCACUCCGCAUCAAAAAUUCUUUUUUAUCAUUUACCUACUCGAGGACGAGCAGGAAUUAAGCUUGGGGAUGCCUGAUACUUUAUCUACUGUUUUGGACUAUAUUGGGCUUUAUUUUCCACUUCUAUAUUAUUUUUGGGACUAACCUAUUAACCGGAGGCCCAGCCCAGAAUUGCUGUUUUUUGCCUAUUUCAGUAUUUCGAAGAAACAGAAUAUCAAACGGAGUCCAAACGGAAUGAAACCUUCGGGAACGUGAUUUUCUCACCGAACGUGAUCCAGGAGAAUUGGACCCUGCUCCAAGGAACAAAAGAGGCGGUCACGAGGGUGGAGGGCGCCCCCCUGGGCGCGCCCCCUACCUCGUGGGCCCCCUGCUGCUCCACUGACAUACUCCUUCCUCCUAUAUAUGCCUACGUAACCCCGACAGAUUAGGACGGGAGCCAAAAACCUAAUUCCACCGCCGCAACUUUUUGUAUCCACGAGAUCCCAUCUUGGGACCUGUUCCGGAGCUCCACCGGAGGGGGCAUCUACCAUGGAGGGCUUCUACAUCAACACCGUAGCCUCUCUGAUGAAGUGUGAGUAGUUUACUUCAGACCUUCGGGUCCAUAGCUAGUAGCUAGAUGGCUUCUUCUCUCUUUUUGGAUCUCAAUACAAUGUUCUCCCCCUCUCUUGUGGAGAACUAUUCGAUGUAAUCUUCUUUUGUGGUGUGUUUGUUGAGACCGAUGAAUUGUGGGUUUAUGAUCCAGAUUAUCUAUGGAAAAUAUUUGAAUCUUCUCUGAAUUCUUUUAUGUAUGAAAAUUGAGUUAUCUUUGCAAGUCUCUUCGAAUUAUCCGUUUGGUUUGGCCAACUAGAUUGGUAGUUCUUGCAAUGGGAGAAGUUCUUAGCUUUGGGUUCGAUCUUGCGGUGUCCUUACCCAGUGACAGAAAGGGUUGCAAGGCACGUAUUGUAUUGUUUCCAUCGAGGAUAACAAGAUGUUUUUUUAUCAUAUUGCAUGAAUUUAUCCCUCUACAUCAUGUCAUCUUGCUUAAGGCGUUACUCUGUUUUUAACUUAAUACUCUAGAUGCAUACUGGAUAGCAGUCGAUGAGUGGAGUAAUAGUAGUAGAUGCAGAAUCGUUUCGGUCUACUUGUCUUGGAUGUGAUGCCUAUAUACAUGAUCAUUGCCUAGAUAUGUUCAUAACUAUGCUCAAUUAUGUCAAUUGCUCAAUAGUAAUUUGUUCACGCACCAUAGAAUAUUUAUGCUCUUGAGAGAAGUCACUAGUGAAACCUAUGGACCCCGGGUCUACUCUCAUCAUAUCAAUCUCAAUCGCUUUAUUACUUGCUUUGUUUUUUACUUUGCCUUUUACUUUUAACUUUGCAUCUAUCUAUCAAAAAUACCAAAAAUAUUAUUUAUCAUCUCUAUCAGAUCUCACCCUCAUAAGUGACCGUGAAGGGAUUGACAACCCCUAAUCGCGUUGGUUGCGAGUAGCUAUCGUUUUGUGUAGGUACAAGGGACUUGUGCGUGGUCUCCUACUGGAUUGAUACAUUGGUUCUCAAAAACUGAGGGAAAUACUUACGCUACUUUACUGCAUCAUCCUCUCCUCUUCGGGGAAAUCCAAUGUAGUGCUCAAGAGGUAGCAGGCGGCAAGUAGGACGCGUGGCUGAUGGUGCUCCCAUCGUCGGCCGCCAGCGUGGCCACCGCUUGUGCGGUCGCGUCCGCGUCCGGCUAUGUCGCUAUUGCGUCGCGAGAGGCGACUUGAGAGAGGGCGGCGACCUCGAGCUUCAUCCCCAAAGACAAGCUCUCCCGCAGAGCGUUCGCACUUGCGGUCAUGGCGGAUGUGGUGCCAGGUAGGAGGACGAUGCGCUAUGGUGUGGAGGUUAGCUGGGCGUUGCCGCUUUAAGUAGCGCAUUCCGGUGAGGCCAAGCAUCCGGGUGCGUCAUUAAGUCGCCGGAGUUGGUUCCUCGGGCACCGAGCCUCUUAACGACGACAUACGAACGGACGUCAUGAAUGCAGGCAGCUGGCGCCGGCUGGGAACGCACUGCGCGACGGCACGAGGGACGAGGGCUUUGGUGUGCCAGGGUAGUCAUCUAUGGUCGUGGCAAUUUUGGAGAUGCCCUUUGCUCAAAUGCGAUCCCCGCAUGUCAUUGAAAAAGAAAGACGACCCAGCAUGGUCUCAGGUCUAGAGGAUGCAUUUGGCCGCGCUACACCACUCCGCGGACGCGUCGCGGCGCCCCGUGCAUCCUCGACGAGCCGGGUGUUGAGGUGUGUUUGGAUUGUGGCCAAAGUGCACCUUACCAAAAUUUUGGUCAUGACCCAAAGAUUGGUCUUUGUUUGGAUGGUUGCCAUUUCUUUGGCAUGCCAAUGAACUCUAGCCAACUCUAGGUCAUUUUUCUUGCCAAUGUCGGCCAAAUCAUGGGCAACCAAUACCUCAACUAAAAUUUUUGCUACCCAAUGCUUUGAUGGAGCAACCUUGGACACAAACCAAACAUACCGUUGGUCGUGCCACAGCACUAACGCCACCCUCGGCACACUGAAACCGACUGUGUCUAUCGACGAUAUGAGCGUGUCGCUCACCGAAGUCACCGUGUCCAGAGGUGGUGCUGGAGCUGCGCCCUGUUGUUGGCCCCAACGACCCACAUGAACGGUUGUCGGUGGCGAGGAGGUCGUGGGCCAGCUCCUCCAUUGGACUAGUCUGCGCUACGUUGUCUCGACGGGUGUGCCCCACAUGUCGGUUUCCCUGUUUUCCCGGCCAUAUUCGAGCGUCAGUGCUCCGCGUUGCGCAUUAGGCCUUUCACUAUGUAGGCCAAGUGAGACAACUUAUUGUUUAUUUGAGCCGUUCAAGUGUAAUCAUGUGGCAUUUGCUUAUUUCUCAUUCCUCCCCAACCCUCUAUCCAUCGAUCAUGUCGCCCUCCAAUCGAGUCCAUCCUCCCGCAUGCCUCAUUUGAACAUUCCGCCGAGUAUCAUUCGCAUGUACCCACCCUAGUCCUGUUUCAAUAGAUCUCCGGACCCCGAGAUGAAAUCGAGAGGGAACGAGUGGGGGCACGUGAUACCUAAGGUGGAUGCAAAAUUUUGAACCGGUGAUCAUAGCAUCCACAAAUCAUAUAUAAAGGGUAUUCAAUGUUCGUUUCAUUUUUGAACGUACAAUAUACUCCCUCCUAUCCUUUCUACUUUACAUAUAAGUUUUAUGUGUAGUCAAAGUAUCUCUACUAUGAUAAAAAAGGUAUCAACAUUCAACAACGCCCAAUUAAUAUUGUUAGAUUCGUACGUACUCCUAGAUUUGUACUCGAGAUGGUUUCCAAUUUGACUAUUGACAAGAUUAAUAGUACUCCUUUCACAUAGGUGAGUAAGUCAUCUUAGGCUGUGCACCAUGACAAAGGAAGAGGGGAAAACGAGGGACAUUAAUGUUUAUUUGCUAAUUAAUAGUAUUGCAUGCAAUGAACUAACCACUACAUGUCAUGUUUGAUAGUCUCAGGUCAUUAAAAGAAUGCACACCCUCAUCUCUUAUUGGUUGAUAUGUCAAAAACAAGAAACGAGGUAGAAGCUAAUGUACCGCGCCUACGUGUUUUGGGAUUAUUUGGUUUUCGUAAGAUGACUUACACACCUAGACGGAGGGAGUACAUGAGAUGUAUAAUGUGAAAAUUAUAUCAUUGCAAACUCCUUUCACAUACGAAAUUGACUGUAUGCUUUGUGUAAGUUGCAUGUCAUAUAUUACUACUCUAACAUUUGGUCAAAGUUAGCCUCGAAAAAUGCAUUAGACCCUGUAUGCUUUGUGUAAGUUGCAUGUCAUAUAUUAUUACUCUAACAUUUGUGUAAGUUGCAUGUCAUAUAUUAUUACUCUAACAUUUGGUCAAAGUAGUAUAGUGGAAGUGGAUCCUCUGACGUAGAUAUCCCUGCCUUACCCUCCCUUUCGGUCACUUACUGGCGGACCCCAUGCUUGCUAGGCCCCGCAUGUCAGUUACUCAAUGGGUUUGGCCAGGUAAGGGGAUCCUCAGCCGUAGUAUACUCCCUCUGUUUUUAUUUACUCCGCAUAAAACAGAGGGAGUGGUGGUAUAAUAAAUGACACGGGCGGGGGAGGGGGAGGGACGUCGGUUUGCUCUCAACUGCGGUCCCACAAGUGAGAGAAAAUGCAAGACGAAUCGUGUUCCAUUCGGUGAGCGACGUGGAGGGUCCAGCAUGCCGGGAUGCAACGUGAACACGACAAGAGCGAUGUACAUACAAAACUGAUUGACCGGUCGUCACCGGAACCACUAUUCACACCAGAACCUUCGCUGCUCGGCCUACGCCAACCACUGCCCUAAAACCACACCAAAUCUCCAGCCCAUUCCCCCACCUUUCGAUCCCCUAGCCCGCAUCAAGCGUCCCCUAGUUCGCCGGAAAGCCAUGGUGUGCCGCAAGAUCACUUACUACAAGAUGCCGACGCCGGAGCGCCGUGCAGAAAUCGCGGCGGCAGUCGGUGCCAUAGACCUCCGUUCCCAAGCUCGCUUUGUGGCGGGCCAAUCCCCGAGUUCUCUAGAGCCAAGCUACGAGGAGGAGGAAGCCGAUCCAAUGUUCACUGCGGAGGUCGCGGCGCAGAAGGCCCCCGAUGGGUAUGAGACGAUGGACGUCAACUUCAUGCAGGCGUCCGAGUCCCCCAUGGUGCAGGCGGACCAGCGGUUCAACAUGGUGAUACUAAAGGAGGACCGAGAGGUAGAGGCUCAACUCGACUCGGAGCGCGCGCAUGCCGCUGCCAUCGAGGCUCUCCUGCAGGCGGAACCGGAUGUCGUGGAUGUGAACUGGGCGACGGAGGCUCAACUUGAGGCGGAGCGCGCGGAUGCCGCUGCCAUCGAGGCCCUCCUGCAGGCGGAACCGGACGUCCUGGACAUGAACCGGGCGGCAGAGGCUUGACUCGACGUAGAGCGCGCGGAUGCCGCUCUCAUCGACGCCCUCCUGCAGGCUGAACCGGAAGUCCUGGACUUGAACCAGGCGACGGAGGCUCGACUCGACGCGGAGCGCGUGGAUGCCGCUGCCAUCGAGGCCCUCCUGCAGGCGGAACUGGACGUCCUCGACUUGAACCGGGUUGUGCUCUCGUCCGUGCAGAGCGCCCGCACGCUCCACUUGAACGAGUAGCUGGAGGCCGAGGACAACCACGGUGCGGAGACACACGUCGGCAGCGACGGCUGGUUCGCGCCGGCAGCCAAAGACGAUGAGGUUGUCUCUUUCCGCGAGCAGUGAUAGUUUUUCUUUGUGUUGUUGUUUUUAUGGAUCUUUUGUUGUGUAAAAACAUACUAUAUUUGUUAUGCAAGUCGCCUGACUUGGGUCAGUCUACCAUUUCAGGCGGUUGGAUGAAUAUCCUACGUCUCCUAACCCUUCUUUCCUUCUUCCUCACCUCUUCUUCUUCCCCGACAGACCACCGCACGGGCCGUACGGAUACUCCCCAACAUGCGGUUGGAUAAACAUACUCUAUGAACAAAAAUUAUGUGUCAGCGAUAGGAUGGCUGAGUUCGGUUUGUUCACAUGCGACAACACAUGUCAGUGAGGGUGCAUUCCCUUGGUUGGGUUUGCGGCAUGCAGGAGCUACUGUGUGAGGGUGCGGUGCGACCGCAACGUGCAGGAGCGACCGUGUGAGGGUGCGGUGCGACCGCGACAGCCGUGCACAAGUGUACCUCCUUCUCAUUUUGAAAACUUUAGGCAUGCUUGGAAAAAAUGUGUGGCGAAGUUUGGCAAUGCAAGGCCUAGACCUAAACAGGAUAAGUACGUACGUACUAGGAGUACUAGUGUUAAAAAAGAAAGGCGGGGUUUUCCUUCGAUACAAAUCCUUGUUUCAAGUGUCAAUUAAUGCGUAUUUUUUUCUCGAAAGACCAAAGAGCUAACCAUCUCACUCCUCAUCGCUUGAUUAAUGCAACGCCAUGCAAAUGAACCUUCUCACUUCCGCAUGAAUGCAGGGGAUAUUAAUGUCCUUGGUUGCUAACCCCAUCAAUUUUGCCUCGAUUAGUGUUAGUGGCCCUUUGCAAAUUGUAAUUUUGAUAUACUGGCCUUGUGUACAAAAAAUGGAGGUAGUAACUAUAUUUGAAUUCCUUGCCCAUUGCGGUGACGUCGACGAUUUUUUUUUGUGGUUUGGCGAAGUGUGUUCAAUGGAGAACACCAUUGAGGGAGACCACGGUAAGUCGUUCGCAAGUGCCGCCUGCAAGCCGAGACAACCGCCUUAUUUGCAUCCAGGAAGUCCUUUACUAGUACUACUACUAGGAGUAAUAGUGCAGUGAGAUGGUUUCUCGAAGAAGACGGUGGAGAAGCGGAGUCAGCGAAGAGUGAAAUGAUGGUUGCUUCGUCCGUGCUUUGUGAUUUGACGCCUCACUUCUUUGUGGUUUGUGAUAGAAGGGACAGGGGAGUAGACUCUAUGCUCUAUACUGUACUACAUGCGUCCAAGCAUGGGAGAAAGAGGAGAGACGUUGCAUUUUUCUAUUCCUUCAAUCAAUCAAUCAGGGAGCUUCGGUUCCAUUUUUUUGGCUUUGGCAACACCGUCCACAAUGGUUCCCACGAUGCCAAAAGCUAUUUUCACAUUUGGCUACACAUUGUGGAUGCCCUUAACCGUACCACUUGGUUUUGCUCCUGUGUGCUAUCUAUACAAAUCUCAAUUAUAUUGAUCUAAAAAGUUAUAGAAUCAAAGAUGAGUAAAAAGGAGGUGAUUUUGCCGCGCGGAUGGCGGGGGAGGUUUCUUAUUUUUGGAGGACAUUGUCCUGGCGGUUUGCUAACAUGCGGUCCCACGUGUCAGUGCUUUACCAUGCUGAUCCGCAUCCCACAUGAGGCAGAACAACGGCAGAAGCAACACGUGGUUAAGUUGAAGAAGAUGAGGGAGAAGCGGAUUCAGCAACGAGUGAAAUGAUGGUUGCUUCGUCCCUCCAACUUCUUUUUUUAGCAUUAUUACUUCAUCCCUCCAACUUAACUGCGGGAAAGGUGCAGCUUUGUGAUUUGACGCCUCAUUGCUCAUUACUACGCCGACGCCAUGACUGGGGUGCUUAACCCCGGCUGCUCUGCACUGUAUUUCGGUAUGGCACGUGGACCCGGUAGCUUGAUGUCCCACAUGUCGGCGAAAGGGACUAGAAGAUUUAUGAAAGCGAGCGCUCCACUCUUACGACGGAGGAGUAGACGACACGACGGCCCAGUGAACUGUCACUUGUACUGUAUAGUACUAUAGUUUUGUUGUUUCGCAUGAUCCAUCGAUACAAACCCGAUUAAACAGGAAAGGGCGGGAUUUUUCCCGCGCGGUAGAUGAUACUGGCCAUACAUUUCAAAGGCAAUUUUAAUGUAUGCAAACUAAAUAAUUAUAAGUAACAAUAUGAUAUCUAGUAAAACUAAAAACACAUAUGAUUUAUUGUGUUAGAGUGUAGUAGUAGUGUUGUAUUGCAUAGUUGUUAGAUGUAACAUGCGAGAACGUGUAGAGAUGUAGUUUUGGAGGGCCUACAGAGAGAAAAGCGUAAUACGGUCACCGAACUUCAGAAUAAGCUGAUUACGGUCACUAUAUACGUUUUGUGGUGAUUAUCCGGUCACUUGCUCACAGUCCAGCAUCGGAUUGCACUCUGUUGACCGGCCAAAUAGUCUGCGUGGCGCCAUGUUGACUAGUUAAAUUGACCAGGUUCCUUGUGGGUCCCACCUGUCAGUUCGCAUAGGGAAAAGGUCAAAUAAACACAAAUUUACGCAGGCGCGACAAGGCUCCAACCCGUGCACGGGAAUCACCUGGUUGUGUAUGUGUCUGUCAGGGCCUGAUGUGUGCGCAUGCACGUGUAGGUUGAGCACUUGAGCGUGAGAGUGUGUGUUGGCCGUGUGGUGUACUGGUGUGUGCAUGCAUGCGUGCGUGUGUGCAUGUGAGUGUUGCGUGCGUGCGUGGCUGCGUGUGUACGUGUGAGUGUUGCGUGCGUGCGUGGGUGCAUGUGUUUGUGUGAGUGUUGCGUGGAUGGAGUUCGUGUGCAUGCGUGCGUGUGUGUAUAAUCACCACACCAGCUCCUGUGUGUUAAAACAGACGGCUCAGCAUACCAAUACAAGGCCACCUUGCCCGAUGUGCCCGCGGUCAUGACUUCGAACCACCGUCAAAAUAUUUUUUUGUCGUUUGUUUUCAUUCUUACUAGCAAGAUGCCCGUGUGUUGCACGUAACAUCAAGAUGCAUUUGUAUGACUUGUUUAUCUUGUGAGAGAAAAGGAUGAACGAGGGAAAGCCUUAUUUGCAAAUGUGGAGAGGUGUGUGGGUACGUUUUUGCAAAAUUGCCAUAGUUUCUUUCCUAUCCGUCAGAUAUAAAUCGGACGGCCUAUAUUGCAGGAUGGCAGGCACACCAUCAUCACCAACUCUAUUUUUUUAUAAGAGUGUAUUUUAUAUUUUAUGUAUUUUAUAAUAGUGUAGAUGUAGAGUAGAUACAAGUCGACAGGUGGGCACGAUGGUAGUGAGAUAAUGUGAUGCAACAGUAGAGGUGCCACAUGGAGCGUUUAACUGGUCUACUAGUCAUGUCAUGAGCUAAUACAAAGUUGUACGGUGAGCCCGUGACUGUAUAAUAACCACUAAAUGUAAUCGGUGACCGUAAUGAGUGGAUUAUGAAUUCCAAUGUAUGUAUCGUGCUUUCGCUUCAAAUACAAUGAUCGUCAUUGCAUAUAUCGCGAGAGAAAGAUGAAACACGCGUGAAUUUUCUGGGGGCUUACUUUUAGAGGACCUGGAGAUAGUUUUGUGUGCAUACGUGAAAGGGGCGUACAGGGGGGGUAUGCGAUGGAGAGAGAGAGAUACUCUUCGUUUCUCUUUAUUAUGACUAACUUUGUAUAUAGUAUAAAAAUAUAUGAAUUCACAGUGUGGAAUAAAUAUCAUUGUGGGCACCAUGCAAUGCAAAUUAGCGUUCGUACUCCUCCAUAUAACUUUGUAAUGUUGUAUAUAUGUAGAAACUCUAAAAUAAUUUUUUGGCCACACUUUGUUCAAAAGGAAUGUUGUAUGCGAAAUAAACAUGAAGAGAGGGCUUUUUAGAUCAAUGGGGUACGUGAUGUAACAUGUGUGAAUGUGUAGUUGAUGCAUUUGGCGGGGCCUAGAGAGGUAUGUGUGUGUAUUACGUAUUCGAGAGAGGCAUGGAUAGAGGGGCCGACAGGGGGGGCAUGGGGGAGAUAGCACGAGAAAUGAGAGUGGUCUAGAGAGAGAGAGAGACGAAUAUGACGUGAAGACAAGAGAUUCCAUUCCCUUGAGUGUGUAUAUGCAAGGGGGGAGGGAAUAGAGGCACCAGGAGAAAUUUUCUGUGUGUGUGGUGUUUGUGUUGGUAUGUGUGGGUGUGAGAAGAUAAUGAGACGUGGGGGCAGAGGGUGUGUCACUGCGUGAGGUCCGGUGGGUCGAGGUGAGGCCAUUCGUUCGGUUCCGUCCUGCACCACAUUGGUAGGCCCAUGACACAUUUAGGAAGACACAUGGAUGACUAGUCAUACAAGACAAAAAUAGCAGAAUUGUGAAGGACUCUGUGUCCACUGACAAAGCCGGCUAGGAUUUGUAACCCUAGGUUCUCGGAUUAAGGUAACCCCUUUAUCUCUGAUAUUACUAUUCAUCCAACCUAACUUUAAGGGGCAUCCUACAGAAUGCUUUGCUAGAAUCAUACUCGUCGAUUAGGAAGAGAGGUGUGAGAUAAUGCGUGAGAGACAGGCGUAAAGAUAAUGUGCAUACAUGAGACACGUAGGCAGGUCCAUGUAUAUAGAAAGGGUUGAUGAGGAUUGUGUGUGUGUAUGUUUGCGAGAGGAAGAGUGCUUGUGAUAAAGGUUAGUGAAAACAGUUUUAAAUGGUUACGAGAGGGAGGGAGGGUUAUAUCUCUAGCAUGUGUGCGAGAAAGACACCUCAGGAGAGACUGUGUGAGCAUGUGUGAGAGACCACUGAUGGAGAGUGAAACUACACGUAAAAGACUGCUCUACACAUUGAUAAAAGAUAUAAAUUGUAUCCAAUUAUUAGGAUGGGAUAAUGAUAUUUGCAAUUCGCGUAAGGAGCGGUCAUUGAUCCAUCAGACAUCUAGAUUCUACCGAAUUUGAGCAUGUCUAUGUUAUUAUUCGACACAAUUGAUCCACAUAGUUAGUAUUUUGAACUCCAGACAAUGCAUCGCUUUAGCAAUCGAAUAUAAACGUGAGUAUAGUUCAUGUUGUGUGUGAAGCACAUUAUACAUACGAAAGUUACACAAUGGACAUUUAUAAAUCGGAAAUGUUAACGCCCACACGUGUGGGCGUUGACCAUCUCGACCACACGCAUCCAUCACCAUCCAGUACUAUAUGCACGAAUCUUGGCAAAAUCUGGCUGAUUUUCUGUGCCACGUAGGACAAGGCGUGUGUGUGGUGUGUGACAUAGUUCGCCCACACAUCCGUUUUACCACACGGAGGGGCCGGUGUGUGGGCAUUUAGCAGUGCACCCACACACCAGUAGUCACGCACAAGGGCUGGUGUGUGGGCAUUUGUUAUCUCGCCCACACGCCCGUCUCCUCUCCCACACCCCAGCUGCUAGUUGCCAUGUGUUUUUGCAACGCACAUGGCAACUGCCCCUAGUGUGCUUUAUAAGCAGGUAGCAACUCUCUUUUUUUACCCAAGUUGCCAUGUGUUUUUGCAGGGUACACGGCAAUUGCCUAGUGUGCAUGUAAGCAGAUGGCAACUCUCUUUUACCGAGUUGCCAUGUGUUUUUGCAUGGUACAUGGCAACUGCCCCAACGUGCACGUACAUGGCAACUGCCCUAAUGUGCACGUUAGCAGAUGGCAACUCUUCCUUUUUACAUGGCAACUGCCCUAGCAUGCUUGUGAGCACAUGGCAACUCUCUCAACUGCCUAGUGUUAGUAUGUGGCAACUCCUAAAGUUAUGAAAUCAUGGCAACUACAUUAGAUCAGACCAUACAUGGCAACUGCAGUUGAGCAACCAUGGCAACUGCAGUUGUCCGACAUGGCAACCGUAGUUCAGCGACAUGGCAACUGCAGUUAAACGAACAUGGACGAGGGUCUGGACCAUGGCAACUGCGGGCGCGCGGUGGGCGUCACGCGUCGCGUGCGGGACCAGGAGGGUACGAGGCCUCACAUACGGGCGUGUGGGCGUUAUCAACUUCUCCCACACGCACGCGUGUGAGAGGGUUCGGGAGGGGGAAAAAUGUGUGUGGGCAUUAGUUGUUUUGCCCACACGUAGAUGUGUGGGCUGGUUGCUGUCCAUGCCACACGAGGCGUGUGGAACAACUAUCCGAUACACCACACGUGUGGCAGUUAUCGGGACCCUUAUAAAUAGCUACCUAUGAACUAGCAUACAUUUGAAUUCAACCUAAGGUGGUUUAAAAAAAAUAGAAUUCAACAUGAAGUCCAUUCAAUUAUUUGAAUUUGAUAUCAUGGCAUUUGUAAACCAUAUCUAAACUAUGGGGGUACCAAUCUUUGCUCUGAUUUUGUACAUGAUAGCAUAUGUAGUCGUGUACAAAAUAGAUUCAAAUUUAGCUCCUCCAUUCCAAAAUAAUCGUAGUUAUAGGAUUUUCAAGUGUCAAAAUUUCAAAAGGAAGCGGAUAAUUUAAUGAGGUUUUCAAACAUACAAGGUCAAAUAUAACAUUGUCUGUUUAGGUCAAUCCUCAUAGUUCAAGAGUACUCUAAACGUGAAUGUUUGUGUUUCAAAAUUUCGAACGAAGCGCCAAAAGAGCCUCUACUCGCCCGAAAGCGCGUGAGACCAAUGUUUGGUAGUACAAGGAAAUUACUUUUCUAAUAACUCUGACCCGUGAAACCUACCGGCCCGACGUCCAAAGGUCUAAACCGGGGUAGGUUUGUAGCUUCAUCUAGACGCCAAGCAAUUGCCUCCAAAAAACAUUCAUAGGCCGCCUAAGCACACAUGCGCGCGGCCGAAAUCGCUCCCGCCCACUAUUUGGGACACCUGGGAUUACCAUCCUACCCCCGACCCGCAGUAGGUCCGAAAUUUAAGAGAGGGGCAAAGUUUGUAUUUUCCCCAAAUUUCAAACAAGCGCUUCCCAUCUUCUGUUCAAAAAAGCCAAAAACAAGUGUGUCCCAGACCGAAACAUGGUUCCCCCCACCCGUCUGAUUCCCCAUUCGUACUUCGUGGGCGCCAAAACUACCUCUCCACCAACCGCGAAACCCCGGCGUCCUCCGUUCGCCAUCCCAUCCCACCCAUCAACCGCCGCCCUCCUCCAUCACGCCGGAGCCGAUACCCCGACGUCGUCGUCCACCGCAACCUCAACCGCAACGCCCUCCACGGCUAGUAGUUGAAGCCGAGGCCGAGCCGUCCGUACCCGAGCCAGUUCAACCACGCUGUCCUGCGCCUCACCGCUGCCGCUCCAACUUUGCCACCCUCCACCGCACCGGAGCUGUUCCUGCUACGUCGUCCUUCACCGCCUCGGAUCUGCUUCCCCUCUACCGACAUACGGCCACGACAACACAGUCAACAAUUUGGCCAUGGGUUCAUCCAAGCCUGCACCCUCCAGAACAUCGGUUUCCCCGGUAAAAAGAAGAAGAUCGGCGCGACAUGUGGAGGUGACCACACCGGCAACCGAAGAAGGUACUCCUCUUCCCUUAUUCGUGCAAAUCUUACGUCUUUGCUUGCACGGUAUUCAUCCCAAAGAAGACACUAGUUGACCACUUCUUCUUGAUACUAGAUGUUCCUAGUAACUCGCGAUGCACAAGGUUUCUCCUCAUAUACUAUUUCACCUUAGCUAGAGGUCCGUCGCCCCCCUGAAUUUCAAUUUCUGGCCAGUUGAUUCCCAAUUAACGGAAGCAUUCCCCGGCAUAACAUGCGCUAGUACGACUAUUAUGCCGAGGAAGCAGCGCCUUGGUGUUUAUAUUAGGGGCGUGUGCGGCCUAGAGCUACUGGCGCCCGAUCUGGAGGUCGGCCGGGAUUAAAGGGAUGGCUUGGGGGCGCUGCCAAGCAUGGCGGUGGUGUGAGGUCGAUGGGAGGGCGGGGCAGCGGAGGCACGGGUCUGGGCCGGUGGUCGCUGGCAGUUCGAGAAAGAUCGUCAACAGUGACUGGCAGGAGGUAGACGAAGGUCAUCUGCCCGUUCGUUAUAGAUCGGACGGUUCAUUAAAAAAACCGACUGACCUAUUUAUUUCCAGUCGACUGUUAUCUUAGAUAUGACCACAUGUGGUGGUGUGCUGGAGGAGUACCUGCAUUUCCUGUGCUCAUAUAUUUCAAAAUCAUACAGAGUAGAAUCUAAUUUUGUUUGCCAUGCAAUGUUGUAGAGCUAUCAUAUGUCUCCUGUCAUUUAUUUUUCAGCCACCUGCUAUCUGCUACUUUUACAGUGCACUAGUUCUGCACACACUUCAUCCAUACUCUCACUAUUGUGUUUUUAUGCAAGGGUAUUUCAGAGUCUGCCGAAAGCGAAGCAAAAAAGAAAAGAGACAAGUCGUGCCAGCUUUCUACACAGCUAGGCGCGGCAUGUUACAUCGCUUUAAAGGGUGCAGUGUCAGCAGAUGGAGAUGGUAAACAUUGCUCUGGAGUUGAUGACCUCGCUCGCAAUGAACCACAAUCCCAGGUGCUUGCUUUAACUUCACGGUGUCAUAUGUGGUUGCAUGUUCCAUAUGGUGUCUAGCUUGUAUUCGAAAGGCCGAAGUCGGUCUUUAUUAAGAUAAGGAAAGAUAUUUUUUACAUGAACCACCAUCCCGUGAGCACCAGAAGACAAAUAGCUAGUCAGGGCACUGGCCGAGCCAGUGACAAGCCCAGCAAAGACAGGCAUCACCUGGAAGCCAACUAAAAAGCCGUGAUGGUGGCGAAGCAGCCCGCCUCCCACCAGGCUCUCAGGUCCUAGAUGAUCAUGUUCACCACUCCAGCCGGAUGUCUAUCUUGUAUUGCUUCCAAUUUGGUUAAAUUGCAUCUGCUUAGCUUACACAUUAUACCUUUGAAUAUGAGAUGCCUUUCUAUUUUUGGUACAUACUAGUACAUCCGUGUAUUAACCAUGUUCUUACAUCAAACUAAUGUUCUUGUGUAUCCCUCGUCAAUCACUUAUGAUGAGGCAGGCAGGCAAGGGGACUACUCCUCAUUUAAAGAAUGCAGCGUCAGCCUCCCGACAUGAUUCUCAAGAAACAGAAAUGCUAGAUGAAGAUAGUGAACGUAGCUCUGUAGUUGAUUACAACAUUUCCCCUACACUAGCAUCGCAGGUGCUUGCUCUAACUUGGCAGCGUGAUAUGUGGUUGCAUGUUGCAUAUGGUGUCUAGAUUGUAAUUCUUCCAAUCUGGUUAAACUGCAUGUGCUAGUCUGCAUAGCUUAUACUCCUGUAAAUGUGACAUUAUACCUGUUAAUGUGACAUGCCUUCCUGUAUUUAGUACAUAGUGCAUCUGUCUAUUAAGCAUGUCCUUACAUAAAACUAUUGUUUUUUUGUAUCCCGCAUCAAUCAAUAUGACGAGACACCUUUAGUAUAUGCAGUGCGAUAUUAGUUGCAUCUUUCAUAUGAUUUAUAGCAUGCGCUGCUUCUAAUUUGUUGAAAUUCCAUUUAUGAUGGGACGCUUUUAACUUGGAAGAGUCAUAUUGGUUACAUCUUUCAUGUGGUGUCUAGCUUGCAUUGCUUCUUCUUUCCUGGAAUGGUUUUGCUUAGUUUACACAAACAGUUGUGAACAUGCCAUGCCGUCCUGUUUUUCGUACAUACUCCAUCCUGGUAUCAUGUGUUUGCCUUACAUCAAAGUAGUGAUUUUCAGUAUCAUGCAUGAAUGAGUUCUAAAGAGAGAAUUUUAUUGCUUUUUCUUGUCGAUUUUACUUGACAAUUCAAAAUUAAUAAAGCGGAAGGAAGUUAGCAAGGCAGCGGAUAAAGGUGCUCCUUCCAAACGAAGGGCCUCUACAGUUUCUACUCCUCCACACCCCAAGAUGAUUUCCAAGACAACACAUGCAUAGACACUCAACAAAGUUGUGUUUAUGAUGAGCACGUCUCCCCUAGUGCGGCAUCAUUGGUGCUCCCUCUAACUCGCACUAUUAUAUGUGGUUGCAUGUUAUGUGUGAUGUAUAGCUUGUAUUGCUUCUAAUUUUGUUGAAUUCUAUCUGCUUACUUUACACAUUAUACUUGAAUAAGACACGUGUUCCUGUUUCUAGAACAUAUAAUAUCUGUCUAUCACACCAUGUUCUUACAACAAAUUACUACUGUUGUGUAACCUGCAACAAUCACUUAUCAUAAGACACGUUUGACUUUGGAGUGUGAUAUAGGUUACAUCUCACAUUCUUUUCUAUCUUGUACUACUAAUUUGUUGAAAUGGCACUUAUGACGAGACAGAUUUAACUUGGUAGAGUGAUAUUCGUUGCAUCUUUCAUAUGGUGUCUAGCUUUCAUUGCUUCUAAUUUGUUGAAAUGCCUUCUCCAUAGUUUACACAUCAUAAGCUGUGAAUAUGCAAUGCUAUGAAUAUGCAAUGGCACUAAUGACGAGAGACCUCUAACAUGGUAGUGUGAUGUUGUUUGCAUCUUGCAUAUGAUUUAUUUCUUGUACUACUUCACAUUUGUUUAAACGCCAUUUAUGCUGAGACACUGUUAAGUUGGCAAAGCGAUAUUUGUAGCAUCUUUCAUAUGGUGUCUACCUUCCAUUGCAUUGCUUCUAAUUUGGUGAAAUGUCUUCUUCUUAGUUUACACAUCAUAGUUCUGGUUAUCUCUUCCGUCCUGUUUUUCAUACAUAUUACAUCCUCCUAUCAUGUGGUUGUCUAACAUCAAAGUUCAGUUCGUCUACAUCACGCAUCAAUUUGUUCUGAAGAACUAAAUUUUUAUUCGUUUUUCUUGUUGGCUUGACUUAACAUGGCAUACAGAAAGAGGAAGAAACACAGAAUGGCAGGGAAUGAGAAACUGAUGAAUUCUGCAGAUUCUGCUGGUACUGAUGGUGCAAUAGAAGGUGAAAGUCCAGCGGAAAAUUCUACAAACACGGCAUCCCAUGUUACACGAGCUGCAAAAAAGCCAAACAGAAACAAAUAGCUGCCACCAAACAAGCAGAGACAACCCUAGUUCUUGCAACACCUACCACAGUACUACCAGCUGCACGACAUACUCGUGCGUCAAUUGAGCUAGCAGCACGUUCCCAAGCUCCCUUGCCACCUGACACUACUUCCCAAGCACUCUUGACACAAGACGAGUUGGCAAUAUCAGAGGAACCUCGUGAGAUUCAACAGCAAGAAGGUAGUUGUUGGAGUCAAGUUAUAGUUGCAUGCUUCUUUAUAUGCAGUCUCACAGUUUGAUGUACACUAACACUUCCUAUGUUCGUUGUUGGACUAGCACCUAGGUGCAAGAGGAAAAAACAUCAGGGAUAAUGCUCGAUAGGUUAACUAAAUCUAGAGGAGGAAGAAUGGAGAUCCGUUUUAGGCAGGUUUAAAAAGGCCACGUGAUGCUACAGAGUCAGCCAAGUUAGUAUCAGAGGCAGCGGUUGCCGUUAGGUGUCAUGUACGUAUCCUCCCAACAUAGAUUCAGUACAGGAAUGACAAAGACAAAACCCAGUUCAACACCUUCGUCGACCAUUUAUCUGUAAGUAUGGUUACACUACUGGAAACAGGGAAUUUGCCAUCAGCCAGCUCUUUGCCAUCUGCUAGCUGAUGGCAAAGAACGUCUUUGCCAUCUGCUUAUAAAAAACAGAUGGCAAAGAACUGACAGACGGCAAAGAACAUGGUUGCCAUCAGCCAAUUCUUUGCCAUCUGCUAGUGGAUGGCAAAUAAUCUUUGCCAUCUGCUGGUGGAUGGCAAAUAAUCUUUGCCAUCUGCCAGCAGAUGGCAAAGAGGUUGGCAAAUCCUGUGGCCGUCAAGACUCUAACGGCGUACCGGCCCCACCUCUUUGCCAUCUGCCAUCAGACGGCAAAGAUUCUUUGCCAUCUGCUGGCAGAUGGCAAAGAGAUGGGGUUAUUUUUUUCCAGGUAAAAAAAUUGUGGGGUUAUGCCCUCCCUCUCUCCCCACCCAUCCAGGUAAAAAAAACAUCCGUCGCCGCUCGCUCCUUCCUUCCUCACCCUAGCCCCAAUCCACAGCCCCACGCCCCUUGCUCCUUCCUUCCUCACCCGCCGCCGCUCCCUCCCACCUCCUCCUCCUCCUUCUUUUGCGCCCUAGGAGCCCUGCCGCCCCCUGCUGCUACUCCUCCACCGGCCCGCCCUGCUGCGUUGCGAGCCCCUCCCUCCUCUUCGUGUUCCGGUGGUCGAUAGUCGGGGUCAAUGAGGAGAUGCACGCGGCGGCGGCCAUGGACGACUCCAUGAGCGGGACCACCGCCGUCGCGGGGCCUGCGGCCGGCGGCACACUCCACGGGGCGCGGGAUGUCCGCGGAGGCGCGGGCUGUGGACCGAGAGGCGGGGCCCUUGAUGCGUUCCGUUCGAGGGGCUGGUCGGGCUGGCGUGGGAUCUGAGCCAUCGUUCAUGGAUUUCUCGCAGCUUGGCUCCUGUUGCUUUGGAUCUGGUACGAUCUCUCUCUCUCUCUCCGAGACUCAACCAGGCACUCACAGAUUAUUAACAUGAUCGAGAAUGCACCUCACUACAGCAAAAAUGGUCAACAUCUCUUUCAUCAGUCGAGUAGUUGCUUGCUAAAUUUCUUAUUAAGAAGCCAAAUGGUAACAAAUAAAAUACUUGCAACUAAAUUAGAGAUUUAAAAGGAAAGGAGAAUGAACAUACAAAGUAGUAUAGUUCAGAAACAAUUAAGUGUGUACUUCAUGUAUUAUGUUUGAUCCUAUGAUGAUCAAUAUCACAUUGUACACUGCACGAGGGUAUCGGUGAUUUGUGCAAACCACUUAAUAGUUCAGAGCAGUAGGUAUUCUAACCACAUCUCUAAUAUGUUAGAACCACAACUAAAUCUAGGGUACUGCUCGUAAUUAAGGAUAACUUCUCUAGGUGCAUAGAGAGUGAAGGAGCUCCUUUGGUUGCAGUAUGUGUGAAUCUUUCUUUGCUGAGAUCAUGUGUAUCCAAAUAAUUUCCAACUCCCAAACAUUUGCUCGAUGAUGGACUAAAACAAAUGUUUGCAGUUAUAAGACAUAAAUGUUUGUUACAUUAUCAUGUAAAAAGCUACAUUGCAAACCUAUCUUCUUCAUAUUCAGAGAGUAAAUAAACGAAACAUUGGAAUUGACGGCUAUCUAGAAACAUACUCCCUCUCUAAACAAAUAUAAGACCUAUUAGAUCACUAAGAAAAUGAAUACUUGAUCACUCCCAACUGAUAUUUCCUUUGAGCUUGAUGUUUGUGCGAUUCUGGUCCCAACUUGAAUUGUUGUUUUUGUGUUGAAAUAUGAAAGCUCUACCAAAAGCACAACAGACCAAGUAAAUGGUGGUAAUACUAUUACUCGUUCAAAAAAUCCUCCUAUAACUAAAAUAUUUAUCUUAGACCCAUCCAGCAAACUAUGUGUCAUGUAUCUUUCAUAAAAAAGUAAUCCAAAGAAAUAUUGCAGAUCAAGUAAGAUAAUCUAUACAAUCUCACAUCAAGGAAAGCAUCCCUCCUUUCAUUUGGUCGGCCACUUUUAUUUCACGUAUAACCAGGAAAUUGAAUCCCCAAGCUCGUUUUAUAACCUGUUGUCUCUUCCUUCCCUGUUGAAUCAACCGAUCCAUGGCCUUGGUCUGCUGUCUAGUCUGUUUUGGUACAGAUUCACAGAAGACACUAAUCAAACAUCACGACAGCAUACUGUUUGGAAUUCAGAAAUCCAUUCAAGUCAUGCACUGCAAAGGAUGAUUCAUCAGUAUAUCGGAUAAAUCACCAAGAAUGAUUACCAACUGAUUACCAACUCAAGCAGCAUGUUCUAGAAAAAAAUUCAUCAGUGAAUUUUCCAGUGCUUUUGCCUUUAUUUUACGUUUUGCUGUUUAUCUAAUAGCAAUGCCUAUCUCAAAUCAGCCAAUACAAUCUGCUGAUUAUUUUUGCAUAUCUUUCUGCUAUCUUUUAGGAGGAUUGGCUACUACAUACGAUUUGUGGAACUCCCGAUUAUGUUGCUCCCGAGGUUCUUAAUUUGCAUCCAUGCCUUGAAUUAGAUAUGUACUUAUUUUCACCCAAGUGAAUAUUUUGUUCAAUUUUUCAGUAGUUUCUUCGAUGUACAAGUUAAAAAUAACAAGGGUUCUGAUGGUGCCAAGGCGGAUCUAUGGUCAUGUAGGGUGAUUUUUUUGUCGUCAUUCUGUUCGAAGAUUAAAAUCUCAUGCCGCUUUACAAGACGGUGAAUAACUUGUACUACUUUUCUUUUGCCAAAUGUAACUUCCUUUUUUGCACAAAAAAUAAGUAAGUGCCUGAAAGAUAACCUGCUUGUUCAUGCAUAUAUACAAAGUAAGCUUCGGUUUCCCAUGUUGGUUAUCGACAAGACAAAGAAGCUCAUCAAGAAGAUAUUGGAUUGUAAUCCUCACUGUAUGUUAUGUUCAUUGGUACCAUAUCAAUUAAUUUUAUCCAAGCUUAUACACACCAUUUGACAUGUGCUAGGUCCACGCAUGUGACAUACCUCAUGUUCCUUAUUUUAGGUAAUUUCAUUCCAGAUUUUAGUUUAACAGUUUAAAUGUGAGUAUACACACUUUCCUUGGUCUGUAUUAACAAGAAUACUAUAAAUACGUAUAGAGUACAACUCACAAUAAAGUAGUUGUCAUUUCAGUUUUCACUGCUAAUAGAUACCUCUUCAUGGCUCCUCUUUGCAUUAUUUUUAGACCAGUAGAUUCUCUUAACUGUCCUGGAAUCUUUGGUACAUGACUUGUGGAUAGUUGUUCCCAAUGUGAGACUCAUUCCUGCGGCCUUCUCGGUGAUGUGGUUCCGUGAGUUUGUUUCACUACCAAUAUCUAAUUUCUCAUCUGAUUUUGACACCUUGCUCUUCUGCAGUUUUGUUUCACUUUUCAAGGAUGAGUAUCUUUACUUUGAAAAUGGGCUGGUCAUAUUUCUAUUGGAAAUGAAGUGAUGUUGCUUCCCAGGUAAAUAACUGAAUGCUCUUCUACUUUAGUAGAUUCAGUAACUUUGCUUUAGAGUUGUUGUUUAACAGUAGCACUACCCCUGAGUAACUAGAUCAAUGGCUGCCACUAUGUAAAUCAUGGUUCUUCUGUCUUGGUCGGAUGAUUUUAUACAUGCCAACAAGCAUCCAUGUGAUAUGUUCUUCACUUCUGCACCUAACGGCAUGUUUUCCCACAAAAAAGUACACGUGCCACGACAAUCAUGUGUUUUGUCAUUUUAAUCAUUUGUGUGGAGUAGUAUUAAUGUUCUUACUGGCAUUGGUUGACAGAAAUCCCUGUAAGAACUUUAUCCUACGUGUCGUAUUUCUCUUUGUCUCUUUUUCCUUAUUUCUGUUUCCCCGGUUUCUUCUAGCGUAUUUUGAUGUUUAUUUUCAGUCAAAAGGAUGAGAGAUGGAACUUGGGCCAACAAUCUCUGAGAAGAGUUGUUGUGUGCCUUCCAAACAUGUCUCUCUCAUGUGUAUGUUCUGCAUAAUUUACAAGAGUUCAGCUUCUUAAUUGUAUAGAACCCUCCAAACUGUUAAUUUGCUACUCCUGUAGGCUGAUUAAUUGACCUUGGGUUUCUUCUACCUGGACAAUUUUUCUAUCGCAUACACAUACACAAGUUUUGUUUCCUAUGUUCUCUCUCAAAAAAGAAAUCUGGGAUACACCAUUAGUAUCAACACCGAUAAAAAGAAUCCAAUCAAAACAUGAUAUUUUUCCCUUGGCUAUAUGUUUAUUUGAAGGAAACCAUUCAAUUCUCAGUCAUCUUUCUUUAUGCUCCUUAUUGCCAUUUUUCCUAAUGCGCCUAUAGAAGUCAUUUAUCAGGUGUUUUGGUAUAUUAUCUUAUAAGGGAGUGCCAAAGUUUUUUGGAUUGUGAAUUCUCUGGUCAGAAUUAGUUGUUUUUUCCCUUGUGUUCAUUUAUUUCUCAAAUUGCAGAACUAAUGAUAUAAGUUGCAUCAUAAUAAUCUUCACAUUUUAGUUGCAUCAUAAUAAUCUUCUUCUUCUAGUCUUCUUCUUCUAACUUUCUUCUUUCCCAUUUUACAGAUUUGCUUAAGAUCACGGAAGCUUAGGUUGAUGGAGUGCUUGUAUUUAGUUUUUGUUUUUACCUUGUGAAACUUGCUACCUAUGGAUGAAACUAUGUAAUAUUGAUGAAACUAUGUAUAUGUACGGAUGAAACUUGCUACUAUUGGUAACAUGUGUUGGAUAUAUAUGUGUUCAUGACUAAUAUGUGUUGAAUAUGCUAUAUUGGUCAUAUAAAUAUAUUUGUUUUUGAUUUUCUGUG
rnacentral:lncRNA from 1 species